GUUUUCCUACGGGGGGCAGCAGUGAGGAAUAUUGGUCAAUGGGCGCGAGCCUGAACCAGCCAAGUAGCGUGAAGGAUGACUGCCCUACGGGUUGUAAACUUCUUUUAUAAAGGAAUAAAGUGAGGCACGUGUGCCUUUUUGUAUGUACUUUAUGAAAAAGCAUCGGCUAACUCCGUGCCAGCAGCCGCGGUAAUACGGAGGAUGCGAGCGUUAUCCGGAUUUAUUGGGGUUAAAGGGUGCGUAGGCGGACUGUUAAGUCAGCGGUAAAAGCCCGGGGCUCAACCCCGGCGAGCUGUUG
rnacentral:rRNA from 1 species